UAGCAAUACCCGCCGGCGACCGGCGAAAGGGUGCGUAACGCGUGAGCAACCUGCCCGUAUCCGGGACAUAAGCGGUGGAAAGCCGUCAAUUUCCCAUACAACGAGGCCGCAUGACCCAUGUUUGAAAGAUCCGUCGGAUACGGAUGGGCUCGCGAGACAUUAGCUAGUCGGCGUGGUAACGGCACACCGAGGCGACGAUGUCUAGGGGUUCUGAGAGGAAGGUCCCCCACACUGGAACUGAGACACGGUCCAGACUCCUACGGGAGGCAGCAGUGAGGAAUAUUGGUCAAUGGGCGCAAGCCUGAACCAGCCAUGCCGCGUGGAAAAGGAUUAAGGCCCUAUGGGUACGUAAACUUCUUUUGUGGCGGAGCAAUAAGGUCUACGUGUAGGCCGAUGAGAGUACGUCACGAAUAAGCAUCGGCUAACUCCGUGCCAGCAGCCGC
rnacentral:rRNA from 1 species